GCGGCCGCCCAGGCCCGACCGGCGGGCGUCCCCGGCCUCCUGCUCCCGGGCGGGUGACGACUGCGCGGCGCGUGUCUCCAGGGGCGGGGCCCGCGUCGUCAGGGGCGGAUCCUGAGCCCAUUGGCGACUAGGUUUCUUGCACGUCUGACACGGAUGGAUCCAGCUAGAUGUCUUGCCAACAGCUCCUGUGGCCCCACCCAGAAGCCAUGCAGCACAAAAGGACCAAAAGGACAGCUAGAUUUCAUCUCGCACGUAACCAAUCAGCACUCCCCAUGCCCUAGCCCCCUGCUCAGCAAACUACCUUUGAACAACCUCUAACCUACGAGCCUUCAAUUGUAACCGAGCAGCUUAGCAGCUGUGAAUCCCAAAUAUCUGAGACAGGUCUCAAUCAGUUUAGAAAGUUUAUUUUGUCAAGGUUAAGGACAAGCCCGUGACACGGCCUCAGGAGGUCCUGACGACAUGUGCCCUGGGUGGCUGGGGCACAGCUUGCUUUCAUACAUUUUUAGGGAGACAUGAGAUAUCAAUCAAUAUGUGUAAGAUGGAAAAAGAAGAGAAAAAGAAGAAAAAAUGUAUGUAUAAGAUGUACAUUAGGCCGGGUGUGGUGGCUCACGCCUAUAAUCCCAGCACUUUGGGAGGCUGAGGCAGGUGGAUCGCCUGAGGUCAGGAGUUCGAGACCAGCCUGGCCAACAUAGUGAAACCCCAUCUCUACUAGAAAUACAAAAAAUUAUUGGGGCGCAGUGGUGGGUUUCACUCGCGUCCGUGUGAAGAGAACACCAAACAGGCUGUCUGUGAGCAAUAAAGCUGUUUAUUUCA